GGUGUUGAUGUAUUUUUUUACUCCCUUCUUUACCCUCACUUCAGAAUGGAACAAAGGACUCCAUUAGCAAGCUUGUCUCUGAAUUGAAUGCUGCUACACUCGAAACUGAUGUAGAUGUUGUGGUGGCACCUCCAUUCAUUUAUAUUGACCAGGGGAACAGGGAUUUGGCGUCGGGAGCGACUCGCGGCUGCGCCGCCGGCGAGCCCACGGAGUGCAUAGAUGCUACACUGAUGCUGCUAGUUAUUCCCAUCAAGUUCCGAAAAUGGCCAUAUGAGAGUGGGUCAUGCUUCCUUGUUGCCCGAGGCUGAAACUUCUGCCUCCUUGUUGCCCGAGGUUGAAACUUCUGCGCUGCACAUAGGGCAUACCUGCAAUAAUCAGAAAUAUUUUGUCAAAUCUUGGGCCAAGAUAUACUGUCAUGGUUAGAAGUGUCCGCGUCACAUUAAUUAUAAAACAUGUUAAAACUGCCGCAGCCAAACAGUAUGCAUAAUGGGAGUACAUCUGUAGCUUACAGCUAGUCACUGUGCCAGACAGUGAGAUAUCUGUCAAGCCGACCAUUUGACAGGAAAACUAA